GUUUAGGUAUGCAAAAUUAAUACGAUAUUUACUGGUGGUGUUAUCAAAUAUGAACUCGGCUGUGAGCAGAAAACUGUAAGUAAAUUUUGUAUUAUAUAAAACUGGACCAAUAUAACCAAUUGAUCAAGAUUGAUCAUCCAUAAUCUAUUAGAAAGAUUAUUCAAUUCUUACAAUUUCUUUGUCGAAUAGAAAAGUAGCAUCCCCUUGUCUAUAAAUGACUGAAGAACGUGCAUGUCUUGAAUAUUGCUGUUCAUAUUAGUGACGUAAAACUUUACAAAAAAAAAUACACAUUCAACUUUUAACUAUGAGGUGUCUAUAAUCAAUAAAAAACAAAGACAGACACCAACAAAAAAUAGCUGGAAUACAUGUGUAUAUGGAAGAUGAUGAUUGUUAUGCGUUGAUAUAUGAAGAACUGUCUAAGAAAAGAGAAAUUGUGAUACUAAAAUUAAGUUCCAAGUAAGUUAUACUUAAGGCUAUUUUAUUCAAUUAUCUAGGAUGUGCUUGAUUACAAGUCAUAUUGGAAAGAAUUGUGAUUCUAUAUUUCAAACAAUCAAAUUAGAUGAAAUAAAUUGAAUAAAAAAUACAGUGUUUUGUCUGACCCAACAUUAUUUCUUUUUAGUCGUUCAUUACAACGAUCACAAAUGAAAAGCAUUUAUUAGUUGAAUAGCUAUUUAGUUGUUAAAUUAAAUCACGCUUACCAUUACCGUGAUGAUAUGUUUGCGUUAACUGAUUAAUGUUCAUGAUUAAAAAUUUAGUUGACCAUAUCAUGCUGUAAUUUGAUCAAACUAUUUUUACUUUUUUUAUUUUUGACUUUGGAUUGUAUAAUUUUUGACAGGUAACCUACUCUUAGGUAGGACAUGCUGGUACUCGAUUCCAUAAACAACCGCCAGAAGUAAAAUAAAGAACAUAAUCGGUACAAUUUUUAGGGAAAGUUAAUUUAUUUUCCGAAUGUUCUGUCGUGUAUAGAAAACAUAAAACAGUAAAUGUUUUUCAGGAAAUUUGUACAGAUUUAAAGCUUUUUUUACGUUGCUCUUACCUGAACGAGUACCAGCAUGUUCAACUAACAGAGAAGGCAACCUGUUAAAAAAUACACUUCCGGAUUCAAAGGUCGAUGUUAUGGAACUUGUCUAUUGCUAAUUUGAAUUAGGAGUUAUAUGACAUUUACAACAUUUGUUAUACUCCUACUCCACAUUAACAUGUCAACAGCAAGGGAUAUUGAAUGAGGGCGUUGAAGACUUGUUUUUCAUUAUUUCGUAUCUUCGAUUUUACACAAUCAUAUCAUGUACAAACUUAAUGAUUAUUUAGAAAUGGUCUGAUUGAUAUAUCAAGUUGCAAUUCGAUACAAUAAAAGACAUAAAUAUGUCUUUUCAUAUAAAUAAGUGUAAACUAAUUUAUAACACAUUUCUAUUGAUGGAUUGUUUAAAUAAGCAGUGUUUGCGUAUAUUUAGAUGACAAAGCCAACUUUAUAUACGAUAAUCCUGUAAACAACCUAUUUUUUUGAAAAUAUUGCACAAGAUGCAUGAAAAACAAAAUAAAACCAGAGAGGCAGACGUCACUACACAGUGCAGUUAAAGCAUUUUUGGGAUCUAGAAGAUAUUAUACGUGAUUUUUUUUUUUAUAAAAGAAGAAAGAUAAAUCAUAUAAUGAUACGAUAUUUUUUACACAUUACCUUUGUACCAUGCAAAACAAAAUCAAAGACACGGUUUAUCUAAAAGUUCAUGAUAUGUUUCAGGUUUGCGAUGCUCUGUUAAAGGAGUACAAAAGCGUUCACAAUACUGGCACUGGUAAAAGAGCAGAUCAUGGAGAUCUUGUCCUCUGUUCGGCAUGCUGUGACGGCAUUGGAUGUAACAAAGAUCAAUGUAGUAACGUUAGAAAAAGUAUGCUCGCCAAAUCAAACUUUUGAAAUAAGUAAAAAUAUUUUAAAAACAGUCGAACAAGAGGAAGCUUAAGUUUCUUCCUGUUGUAAAAAGUAAAAUCACAAAAAUACUGAACUUAGAGGAAAAUCAAUUCGGAAAGUCCAUAAAUAAAGGCAACAGUAGUAUACCGCUGUUCAAACUCAUAAAGACAUGGCAAAAUUUAAAUACAAAACGCAUCAAAAACGAAUAGAUAAGAACUGUCAUAUUCCUGACUUAGUACAGGCAUUUUCAAAUGUAGAAAAUGGUGGAUUAAACCUGGUUUAAAAUACACUAAUAAAUACACUACUUCAGUUUGUCUUCGUUGUGCUCAAUGGUAUCUAGGAAUAACUAGCGGUUUAAGGUUCAUUUUGUUUUUUAAUUUGGAGUAUGCCAGAGUUUACAACCAAAUUAAACGCAUAUGACUUUAGACGGCCAUGAUUGCACGAUAUACGCUCUUUUUACCUUUAUUUAUUGUAUGAUAUAUUUGAAUGUCAAAAGUUGUUAUUUUCUAGCACAUUUGUAAAGUAAACAGUUUACUUGUUUCGACACUUUGCUUCUAUUAUAAACUAUGCAUUUUGUGUGUCAGAUUGCACUCAGACAACAUGUAUUUGUGUUAAAAUGCUCUCUCUGCAUGUUAUGUGGCAAGUCUCUGAAGAAGAACUAAUAAAGCUAAGCUUAGAUUCUUUUUUUUUUUUUAAUUUAUUCAUCAGCCUAUCAACAUUUUGGCCUCAAUCAUACAAAAUGGGACAAUAAUGUUGCAAUGCUUAUCUUGUUCAGUUAAAAUGGCAACGGUAACGUUAUGCUUUUUAAUGAAAUCGUUUUUCCGUAAAUACAUGUAAGUCUUUUUAAGACGAAACACGCGUCUAACAUGUAGUUACCUUUGAUAACUAUUUAUUUACUAAAGUAUAAGCCUUUCAAAUAAUACAGCAUUUCUGCGAAACCGAUGCCGUAUAGUCAGUAUAUGUACUAUGUAUUAUGUCAUUGACAUGAUACAAUGGGAAACAAUUUUUGAAAAAUCAAUAGAUGAUUAACAAAUAUGAUGGAAAGUAAUUAACGAAUACAUUACAACCUACUGCUUUUGGGCAGAUAUCAGUAUUAACUGGUGUUUCAAAUUUGCUUGAUUCAAGAUAUCGGUUCGAAGCGAAGCAAAACAGCACACAGAAACAAUACACAUUGAACCAUUACAUUUGUACUCGCGAAAACCAAAAAUUGAAUUUCAAUGUAAGAUAGCUAUGUGUAUUUUUGUUUCUUUAUACAUGUUAAUAGUCCGCUUUCAAUUUCUCAUUGAAGAUAUAACAUAUUCUAGUGAUUGACGCAAGAAACAUAAUUUGUUCCAACUUAUAAACAAACAGAUUUUACCAAAUUUAACAAAAUCAAUACUCUCUAUUACCUUUAUUCUUCGACAUGAGAGACACAAUUAUGUUUACCAAAAAAGACACAAAAACAACGGACAUAUGUAAUGCAUAUUUUUAGUAAAGCUGCUUUUAUUAUUUUCUAGCUCAACCAUGCUUCAACUCUGCGAUUUGUGGAUGACUAAAGAAAUAGCAGUUGUUAUCAUACAACAUGUUUAAGAUAGAAAAUAAAUAUACAAUUUACAUUACAAGUGUGUAUACAUUUAUCAAAACGAAACUUACGAUAUUUAAAUAUGUCAUACAUAUAUAUGAAAACAAAUAAUAAUAAAAAGUAAACAUACCCGUCAUAA
rnacentral:lncRNA from 1 species